rnacentral:rRNA from 1 species
GAUGAACGCUGGCGGCGUGCUUAACACAUGCAAGUCGAACGGUGAACGAGGGAGCUUGCUCCCUCCGGAUCAGUGGCGAACGGGUGAGUAACACGUGAGCAAUCUGCCCUGGACUCUGGGAUAAGCGUUGGAAACGACGUCUAAUACCGGAUACGAGGCGUGGGGGCAUCCCCCACGCCUGGAAAGAACUUCGGUGCAGGAUGGGCUCGCGGCCUAUCAGCUUGUUGGUGAGGUAACGGCUCAGCAAGGCGACGACGGGUAGCCGGCCUGAGAGGGUGACCGGCCACACUGGGACUGAGACACGGCCCAGACUCCUACGGGAGGCAGCAGUGGGGAAUAUUGCACAAUGGGCGCAAGCCUGAUGCAGCACCGCCGCGUGAGGGACGACGGCCUUCGGGUUGUAAACCUCUUUUAGCAGGGAAGAAGCGAAAGUGACGGUACCUGCAGAAAAAGCACCGGCUAACUACGUGCCAGCCGCCGCGGUAA